GCCUACGGGAGGCAGCAGUCGAGAAUUUUUCACAAUGGGCGAAAGCCUGAUGGAGCGACGCCGCGUGGGGGAUGAAUGGCUUCGGCCCGUAAACCCCUGUCAUUUGCGAACAAACCUCGUUAUUUAAAAGAUGACGAGUUGAUAGUAGCGAAAGAGGAAGGGACGGCUAACUCUGUGCCAGCAGCCGCGGUAAUACAGAGGUCCCAAGCGUUGUUCGGAUUCACUGGGCGUAAAGGGUGCGUAGGUGGUCGGGUAAGUCUGAUGUGAAAUCUCCAAGCUCAACUUGGAAAUGGCAUCGGAUACUAUUCGGCUUGAGGGUUGGAGGGGAGACUGGAAUUCUCGGUGUAGCAGUGAAAUGCGUAGAUAUCGAGAGGAACACCAGUGGCGAAGGCGAGUCUCUAGACAACUCCUGACACUGAGGCACGAAAGCCAGGGGAGCAAACGGGAUUAGAUACCCCGGUAGC
rnacentral:rRNA from 1 species